AAUGAACGCUGGCGGCAUGCCUAACACAUACAAGUCGAACGAAGGCUUCGGCCUUAGUGGCGCACGGGUGCGUAACGCGUGGGAAUCUGCCCUUGGGUUCGGAAUAACAGUUAGAAAUGACUGCUAAUACCGGAUGAUGUCGUAAGACCAAAGAUUUAUCGCCCAAGGAUGAGCCCGCGUAGGAUUAGCUAGUUGGUGGGGUAAAGGCCUACCAAGGCGACGAUCCUUAGCUGGUCUGAGAGGAUGAUCAGCCACACUGGGACUGAGACACGGCCCAGACUCCUACGGGAGGCAGCAGUGGGGAAUAUUGGACAAUGGGCGAAAGCCUGAUCCAGCAAUGCCGCGUGAGUGAUGAAGGCCUUAGGGUUGUAAAGCUCUUUUACCCGGGAUGAUAAUGACAGUACCGGGAGAAUAAGCUCCGGCUAACUUCGUG
rnacentral:rRNA from 1 species